UACGUAGGGGGCUAGCGUUGUCCGGAAUCAUUGGGCGUAAAGCGCGUGUAGGCGGUUCGGUAAGUCCGCUGUGAAAGUCGGGGGCUCAACCCUCGGAUGCCGGUGGAUACUGUCGAGCUUGAGUACGGAAGAGGCGAGUGGAAUUCCUGGUGUAGCGGUGAAAUGCGCAGAUAUCAGGAGGAACACCGGUGGCGAAGGCGGGUCUCUGGGCCGAUACUGACGCUGAGGAGCGAAAGCGUGGGGAGCGAACAGG
rnacentral:rRNA from 1 species